UCGUAGGGAGACCGUGCUCCAUACCUGCGCCGCAGCUGCCGCCUCAGCCCUUCGGCUGGGGGGGGGAGGGGAAGGACUCUGGUGCUGCCUGGAACUUGUUUAUCUCGUGAGCUGCCACUCAAGCGGUGGCCCCGCCUUCCCCCUCACCUUUCUUCCCGAUUGGCCCAGGCUAAUCCCACCCAUUCGCUCCUUGGGCCACGGGCAUAGGCGGGAAUGGCUGUCCUGCUCGUCAGUCAGGGGCCCUGGCACGCGCUGCUGGGGCGGAGCUGCUGUGGACAGAGCGGCGGGGCCGUGGCAGCGCGGAGCGGGAGCUGCCUUCCGUGUUGCGCGGCUGGCCUCGGCCCGGCCUCGUGCCUCGCAGGGUGGUGUUGCCUGGACGGGGCAGGUGACGGCUCCGAGCGGUUGCGGAGGGGAUGGGCUGGGGGGUCCAUCUGUCCUUCCCCCGAGGGGUCAGAGGCGGAGAGAGCUGCCCCUCCCUGUGUAGCCCCCCCACCCACACACGCCCCUUUGCAGCAGAGCGGGGCGGGUCUGUCACCCUCGGCCCCCAAUAAAGUGCGGGCAGAAGAGGCCCGGCUGGGUAACGCUUUAGUUUCCUUCCCGACCAGACCAAGAGGACAAGAGAUCUGAAGGUGUCCACUAAAUCCUGCAUUGCACGCUGACAUUGCACUAGGGCAGAACCAUGGCUUAAGGAAGUGUUGCAAAACCAAAGGUUUGCCCAGUACUCGCUUCACAGAGGUGAACCUAUAUUGCCGGCCAGCCCAUGGCGGUGGGAGUGAGACACCAUGUGCACUCCUGACUCACCAUCAACCUGACAACAUCCCCAAGAGGCUACUACUCUCUUCUCUCCCUUGUUUGGAGGCCUCCAUGACUUAGUGUUUGGGGCUAAGGUCAUGCCAGAGCUAGAUGCGGAGCCCACUGUAGAAGAGCUAAGCAAGGCCAUUGAUUUGCUGUCAAGUGGCAAGGCUCCUGGAAAAGAUGGCAUCCAAGCAGAAAUCCUCAAGAGUGGGAAAGACAGCUAUUACCUUAUCUUCAUCAGCUGCUACUUAAAUUCUGGAAAGAGGGUGAGUUACCACAAGAGAGGCGUGGCACAAACAUCAUCACUUUGCGUAAAAACAAAGGCGAAAAGUAUCAGAGGGCUAGCCGUGUUAGUCUGUAUCCACAAAAACAAUGAGGAGUCCGGUGGCACCUUAAAGACUAACAAAUUUAUUUGGGCAUAAGCUUUGAAGAAGUGGGUUUUUUACCCAUGAAAGCUUAUGCCUAAAUAAAGGCAAAAAGGGUGACUGCAACAACUAAGGGGGUAUCUCGCUCCUAAGUGAAACAGGAAAAGCUUUCGCAAAAGUCACCUUAGUGCACCUACAACAGCUGGUGAAUCAUGUCUACCCUGAAUCACAGUGUGGAUUCGGGGCUUGAAGAUCAGCUAUAGACAGGAUAUUUUCUCUGCGUCAACUCCAAGAAAAGUGUAGAGAGCAAAACCAACCAUUGUACAUCACCUUUGUGAACAUAACCAAAGCAUUUGACACAGUUAGCAGAUCAGGUCUGUUUGCAGUACUAGAAAAGAUAGGCUGCCCACCAACCCUGUUAAGUCUGAUAUGUUCAUUCCACAACAAUAUGAAAGCAACUGUCCAAUUUGAAGGGUCCACUUCAGACAGCUUUGAGAUGAAAAGUGGAGUGAAGCAAGGAUGUGUUCUUGCCCCUACACUCUUUGGAAUUUUCUUCUUCAAAGACGGAGUGUAUCACCACACAAGAUCAGAUGGGAAACUCUUCAACCUGUCCUGACUUAAGUCAAAGACCAAAGUCAAAAAGGUGCUAAUCAGGGAACUUCUAUUUGCUAUGAUUCUGCCCUGAUAGCCCACAAUGAAGAUCUACUACAAGAACUCAUGGACCCCCCUUCAAGUGCCUGUCAGGCAUUUGCUCUCACCAUCAGCAUAAAAAAAUGGUUGUAUUAUGACAGGGGGUUCCACAAGAUCCUUCAGUUACCUUAAAUACAAACCUGAUAGCUGAACUUUUGGACUACUUCUAUUUAGAUUCUACAGUGACCACCAACUUCUCACUGGAUGAAGAACUAAAUGUUCGCAUUGGAAAAGCUGCCACCACCUUUAGCGGACUAACUAAAAGAGCAUGGAACAACUCAAAACUUACCAUAAAGACCAAAAUGCUAGUGUACUAAGCUUGCGUCCUCAGCACUCUCAUGUAUGGUGGGGAAACAUGGACAACUUAUGCUCAUCAAGAGAAAAGGUUAAACAGUUUCCACCUACGUUGUUUAUGCCACAUACUCAACACCAAAUGGCAAAAUAAAGACACCAACACAGAGGCUCUUCAAAGGGCAAAUUUACCUAGUGUGACAGCGCUGCUCAAGCAAAGACUACUGCACUGGCUGGGCCAUCUGAGUAGGUUGGAAGACAGAUGGAUACCCAAGGACAUGCUAUAUGGGGAGCUAUCAGAGGGAACAAGAACAGGACACCCCAAGCUUUGCUAUAAAAACACAUGCAAGUGAGAUAUGAAGGAAUUUGGAAUUGAUCCUGACCAAUGGGAAAUCUUGGCAAGUGAUCGUAACAGGUGGCGCCAUCAUCUCUAUCAGGGUAUCAAAGCCAAUGAGAGAAGCUGGCUCCUACAGCUUGAAGAGAAAAGAGCCCAUAGGAAGCAAGCAGCUCCCAACCAAGAUACAUGCAUUUGCCAGGGCGGAAAAAAAUUAGUGGGUGCUUAAGCACCCACCGGCAACCAGCUCCCCCCAUUCCCCAGCACCUCCUGCCCAUAGUGGUCCCACCAAUCAACUACUCCCCUCCCUCACAGCAUCUCCCAUCUGCCAUGGUUCAGCUGUUCUGCAGUGUGCAG